UACGUAGGGUGCGAGCGUUAAUCGGAAUUACUGGGCGUAAAGCGUGCGCAGGCGGUUGUGCAAGACAGAUGUGAAAUCCCCGGGCUUAACCUGGGAACUGCAUUUGUGACUGCACGGCUAGAGUGUGUCAGAGGGGGGUAGAAUUCCACGUGUAGCAGUGAAAUGCGUAGAUAUGUGGAGGAAUACCGGUGGCGAAGGCGGCAUCCUGGACCAUAACUGACGCUGAGGCGCGAAAGCUAGGGGAGCAAACGGG
rnacentral:rRNA from 1 species